CUGUGCGCGAGGCGCUCCACUCCUUCCGCCGACGCUCUGAGAUAUUCAGAUUGACUUGCGGUCGGCUCCGUUUACGUGUGUCGCUGGUCGAUAUUAUUGCACAUUUGCUAAAUGUCCCGUUGAAUACCGAAAGUAUAGCAACAUCAAAAUUUAGCCGCAUAAUAGGUUUCUCGUCCUACCGUUCGCCAGCCAUUGAGAUUAAUGUCUCGUCCGUUUUCAUUAUCUUUAUAAAUGUCAUGAUGUCAUGUAACGAAGACUAUAUUACUCCAGAUGAAAUUAAGAACGCACUGGAGUUGUUGGACAAAGAAGAAAUUUCUUCAAAAAAACGUUUGGAAGCAUUUUCCAACCGAUGGCACACUGUUAUUAGUGAUGUUGAUUUGGUUACUAAACAGUUUAGCUCUUUAAACUCACUUCAAGAAAACCUUUCUCAAGUUCAAACUAGAAUUCUUGAUUCUUCUAAACUUGCCGAGGACAUAUCUUCUAAAGUUCGGCAGUUGGAUAAAAUUCGAGGACGUGUGUCGGAGUGUCAAAAACGAGUUCAAGAUUUAUUAGAUCUGCAACUAUGUAGCGAAGGUGUUCAAAUCGCAAUGAAAAAUGAUGAAUUGGAGCAAGCUGCUGCUCACGUACAUCGGUAUCUGUCGAUCGACCAAACAAAAUUGCAGCGCACAGCAGACGACAUGGCCCAAGAUUGUUCAAUGAUCACAAGCGCUCUGAAACACUUGCAGGACGCUACAGAGCUUCUUCAAGAAACCGUGUCAAAAAGGUUUGAACAUGCAUCUUUAGUCCAAGACUCGAGAUCUAUAGAAAGGUAUUUCAAAAUCUUUCCACUGCUCGGCAUGCACGAUGCGGGUUUGGAAAAGUUCGUUGAUUAUCUCGGACGCGUGUUGAAAGCUACAGCCGACAAAAGUUUGAAAAACGUCACGGAUACGUCGUUGUCGAACAAUCGGGCUAGUAUUAUUUUCGCCGACGGGUUAACAUUCGUUUUCGAAGAAGUGGCUAAAACGAUAGAGGUUCAACAACCGCUGAUCGAAACCCACUACGGUCCCGAGUACAUUGUUAAGUUCUUGUCCCGUUUGCAAGCCCACUGUGACGUUUUCAGUAACAGUGUGUUGCAGGCGUUUCUGAAAAGGCGAAGAAUAAGAGAGCUACUGAAAACGAUGCGCGAUGAGUGUGACGUGAACGUGGAGAAACCCGAUUCCAAAGAUAUCGACUUACUGGUCGAAGAAAUCGUGUUGAUCUUGGCCCGUUACGAUCUGUACUCGAAGUUCGUGCGCAAACGUGUCAACGGCGACCUGGAGUCGAAGACUUCCGGCGCCAAGUCGAUACUGGACGACAGCAAGCUGUGCUGCUCGGUGCAGGAGUUGAUGGGCAAGUAUCUGGAGUUUGAGAGAUAUUACAUGGAAGAGAGUAUCAAGAAAGCGGUGGAGAUGGACACGAUCGAGGGGGACGAAGACGCGGACGCGGUCACAUCGAGCCUGGUGGACGAUGUGUUCUUCAUCGUGCGCAAGUGCGUGAUGCGCUCGCUGAGAUCGGGCAGCUUGGACGUGCUGUGCGCGGUCAUCAACAACGCGGUGAAUGCGCUGGAGACCGACAUGUGCACGUUCUUCGGACGGACGCUUAGCGCCGGGUACCCGGGCUCCGGUUACUUCAACCGGUUCACUCCGGACCUGGAGAAGGUCCGGCAGUCGUUCCUGGCUGCGCUGAACAACACCGAGGUGGCUGUCGAGUACUCCAAGUCGCUGUCCCAGGCGUUCCGGGAGGAGAUACCGCUGAAGCUGGUCGGUUGCAACACCGACAAGCUGGAAAGCUGCCUGCACGACUUCUCUCGCGUGAACGCGUCGCUGGUGGCCUCCAACAAGAACGGAUUCAGGCAGCUGCAGAGUUCACUGGUCGAGCCCAAGCUGCUGGUCUGGAUGGAACCGUUCUACGAGCAGAACUACAAGAUGUCCGAGUCCGAGUUCGCGCAGGCUGAGGCGGACAAUCCGUUCGUGCAGACGCUCGUGCUGAACAUCGACACCAUGUUCAGGGAGUUCAAGACGAAGCUGACCACCAACAACUACAACAACAUGGUGGUGGUCGUGGCCGAGGAGUCCGCGCUUCAACUGGAGAAAGCCGUGAUGAAGACGGAGUUCAACCGGCUGGGCAGUAUGGCCCUGGACAAGGUGGUCCGCACGCUCAUCAACUACUUCAGCGGCGCCAGCGUGUGGCCGAGCAGGGAGAAGUUCGCGCGGCUGGUCCAGGUCACGACCGUCUUGAAUUUGGAACGCGUAUCCGACCUGAACGAGUUUUUGAACCCCGACAGCGGCAUGCGGUUCUCGUGGAAGUUGACGCCCGACACUAUUAGGCAGAUAUUGAAGUUACGUGUCGAUUUCAGAGAGGACGACAUAAGAAAAAUUAAACUGUAGACAUAUGCGCCACAUGCUUCUGUGCAGUAGUAAUGUGUACCAGUAUUUACCAGCAAGUCAAGGAGUGGUAUACCAGGUGCCUGAACAGUGAUGCAGCGGGGCCCAGCCCAAUUGAGUUCUGUGUCAGACCUGUACGUUAGUGACGAAAUAUCGG
rnacentral:misc_RNA from 1 species